GAAUGGAAGAAAACGGGCACCCUAGAUGCCGAGUCAAGCAGGUUGACGAAGGGUUGGAAGAUGGGCAGGGGAACGGCCAAUGCUAAUGGGCCAAUUUCCACCUUGAAUUUCUUCCCCAAAAUGCCACUAAACAACUCAUUUCAAACAUAAAACAGUUAGGACCCGUCGAGUACGAUCGAAUGGGAACGGAAAAUAGCUGGUUGAAAUGCGCUAAUGGGGCGAAAAAAGCGUCAGAAAAUACAAAACCAAUAUGGCGGCCAUUCGACACGAAAACGAAUGACGCUGCAAUGACGAAAAGAGGAGACCGAUGAAGAGCGUGGCAACGGCGAAG
ensembl:ncRNA lncRNA:CR45478 long non-coding RNA:CR45478